CCCGCUGAACUUAAGCAUAUCAAUAAGCGGAGGAAAAGAAACUAACAAGGAUUCCCCUAGUAACUGCGAGUGAAGCGGGAAAAGCUCAAAUUUUAAAUCUGGCGGCCCCGCCGCCCGAGUUGUAUUCUGGAGAAGCGUCUUCCGCGCCGGACCGUGUACAAGUGCCUUGGAACAGGACGUCACAGAGGGUGAGAAUCCCGUCUUUGACACGGACCCCCGGCGCUCUGCGAUGCGCUCUCGAAGAGUCGAGUUGUAUUGGGAAUGCUAGCUCACAACGGGUGGUAAAUUCCAUAUAGAAGACUAAAUAUUGGCGAGAGAACCGAUAGCGAACAAGUACCCUGAGGGAAAGAUGAAAAGCACUUUGGAAAGAGAGUAAAACAAUACCUGAAAUUGUUGAAAGGGAAACGCUUGAAGUCAGUCGCGUUGGCCGGAACUCAGCCUUGCUUCCGCUUCGCGCUCUUUCCUGUCCGACGGGCCAGCAUGCGGUUUCGUGCGGCGGACACUGGCGGGAGGAAUGUGGCGGCCCUGGCGCGCGUUAUAGCCUCCCGUCGCGAACGCCCCGUGGGGCCGAUGACUCCGGCGCGAGCCUGGGAUGCUGGCAUAAUGGCUUUAAGCGACCCGUCUUGAAACACGG
rnacentral:rRNA from 1 species